UACGUAGGGUGCAAGCGUUGUCCGGAAUUAUUGGGCGUAAAGAGCUCGUAGGCGGCUCGUCGCGUCAGCUGUGAAAUUCCGUGGCUUAACUGCGGGCUUGCAGCUGAUACGGGCGGGCUAGAGUUCGGUAGGGGAGACUGGAAUUCCUGGUGUAGCGGUGAAAUGCGCAGAUAUCAGGAGGAACACCGGUGGCGAAGGCGGGUCUCUGGGCCGAUACUGACGCUGAGGAGCGAAAGCGUGGGGAGCGAACAGG
rnacentral:rRNA from 1 species